AAUAAUUUUUUACUACUUGAAUAACUUGACAUCAGAAGUUAGAAAGAAACUUAAAACACAUUGUAAAACAUAAAUAUUUAAGUGCACUUUGAUGAUAACAAGCUUAACAUUAAAGAGUUAAGUAACUUCGGUAUUCCAUAAAUGAAAAGAUAAAAAAACAGUCACUGGUAAAAAUAACUCAAUCGACAUCUUAACAUACUAUAAUAUAUAAAUUAAAUAACUGUUUAAGAUUUUAACAAAUGUAUAUAAGUAGUCAGAACGAAACUUAAAACAUAUUGUGCAAAAAAAAGUACUUUCAUGACAGCAUGCUCAACAUUUAAAACGUAAUUAACAAACAAAUUUAAGCAAGAAAAGUUGCAACUACAAAGGACUUGUCAACAUGAAAGGAAUGUAAGGAACUUAUUUAAGAAAAAGGAAUUAACUUUUCUUGUUCGAUUGGCAGGACAUCUUGGAAAGACAGCCAGCGUUUUGAUCUUGCAAAGGACUAAUUGAAUUAUGACCUCCA